rnacentral:rRNA from 1 species
ACGCUGGCGGCAGGCCUAACACAUGCAAGUCGAGCGGUAACAAGGAUUAGCUUGUUAAUUUGCUGACGAGCGGCGGACGGGUGAGUAAUGCCUGGGAAUAUGCCUUAGUGUGGGGGAUAACUAUUGGAAACGAUAGCUAAUACCGCAUAACGUMUUCGGACCAAAGAGGGGGACCUUCGGGCCUCUCGCGCUAAGAUUAGCCCAGGUGGGAUUAGCUAGUUGGUGAGGUAAAGGCUCACCAAGGCAACGAUCCCUAGCUGGUCUGAGAGGAUGAUCAGCCACACUGGAACUGAGACACGGUCCAGACUCCUACGGGAGGCAGCAGUGGGGAAUAUUGCACAAUGGGGGAAACCCUGAUGCAGCCAUGCCGCGUGUAUGAAGAAGGCCUUCGGGUUGUAAAGUACUUUCAGUCGUGAGGAAGGGUAUYUAGUUAAUAGCUGCAUSCCUUGACGUUAGCGACAGAAGAAGCACCGGCUAACUCCGUGCCAGCAGCCGCGGUAAUACGGAGGGUGCGAGCGUUAAUCGGAAUUACUGGGCGUAAAGCGCAUGCAGGCGGUCUGUUAAGCAAGAUGUGAAAGCCCGGGGCUCAACCUCGGAACCGCAUUUUGAACUGGCAGACUAGAGUCUUGUAGAGGGGGGUAGAAUUUCAGGUGUAGCGGUGAAAUGCGUAGAGAUCUGAAGGAAUACCGGUGGCGAAGGCGGCCCCCUGGACA